CGGGCAGGGAGGGCAGGAGAAGAGCUCAACCCGCACCAGCCCGUGAUCCACGAGGAGCAGUGUGAGGUCGACCCAAACCCGCCUGUCCCGCGGGUAUUGGGUCGGCCCGCACAUCACUAUUGUGUAGUGUGGAAAACACAUUGUCGAGGGGGAAGAGAGGGAGGGGAGAUGAGUCGCUGGUCUCCGACCAGCUCCUGAGCUCCAUUGUUCAGUCUGAAGGUACACUGAGUCUGUGUGCAAGGGUGCCUGCCCGAAGCUGGGCGAGUGGGCGGGGCAAGCGCAAGCAGCCCUGAGAAGGACCCAGGCUUGAUUGACAUUUCUAGCUUAUAGGGUUACUUGAUUACGUAGCCUUUAAAAAUAACCUAAUCUAUUACCGUAUACUCAAUCAAUCAAUUCUCCACAUUAUUAGUUAAAAGUUGCAUAUUUGUUACAUAUAUAUAUAUAUGGAGUUUUUUUUUUUAUACAAUUUGUAUAUAUCAAGAAGGUAUAUUGUACAAAAGUUUAGAUAAAGACUUCUCCUAAAAAGGACCUUAGAUUGAAGUCUAUGUUGAGGCCCUUGGGUUCCAGUGUUCCCAUUUUAUAUAUCCUUCUGCUUUAGAGUAUCUUCUACAAUGUUUCCCCCCCUCCACUUUCUGGUUAAUGCCUCCACACCCCAAUAUGUUAGACCCUUGGGGUUACAUCUAUGUACCGCCUUAAAAUGUUUAGAUGCACUAUGGGUUUCUAUACCUUUCUCUAUAUUUCUCAGAUGUUCCCUAAUUCAACUUAUUUUGUCAUUUGAACCUUCAUCAACUUAUUUUGUCGUUUGGAUACUAAGCUCAAGGAGAACGAGCCUUCCUGUGGGUCGGUUUUAAAAGGGGAUUUCCAGAAACUGUUUUGGACACUACCUUAUUAAGUAUUUUGAUUGACAGAGUGCCUAGAUGACAUCGGCAACCAGCACCUCCCACCAAUGCACGCCCAGUCCUUCUCAGUAGCUGCUGCUCUCUGGAAAAUAAAAGUGAAAAAAAGAGAUGGCCGACGGCUGCCCUGGCUUGCUGUAGCUGUAACAGGACAGGAAAUCAGGAGAAAGGGAGGAGCGUGAUAAGAAAUGCUAAGAUAACAAAUAAAGUGGACCCAAAAGGAGACUGGAGGCUAAGCCGAGCAGAGGAGACUCACGUUCCUUGUUAAAGGGGAAGGAAAGUCUUUUUAACUUGUGGGUGCCACAAUUUAGGCAUCCCAAGUGAUUUUAUUUACUUAACUGAUAACCCAGGCUGCUGCUCCUGUCAACAGAAAACUGCACCGGCCCAGGGUUCUUCCAGAGAUCACCACAGAGUGAUUCUCUUUUUCCACUUCUUCAGACAUAACUGCACAGUGAUGUGAAAUAGCUGUUUUUUUUCUGUUGUUAAAGUAUGGCUUUUUACUCUGCUAUGUAUGCACAGCUGCGGGAAUAAAGAAUAAGCAUGAACAGGAUCCCUCUGUGUAGCUCACUGGGCCUCUGCAGUUUUCUGUUGAUAGGAGCAGCAGCCCUGGGUAUAUACAAUCACUUAGAGCUGCCUAACUUUUAGUACCUUCAAGUAAAAAACUUGCUUCUCCUUUAAAGGGAGGGGAUCUCUCACAUCUUUGCCUGUCUGAUGUUAUGAAAGCCCAAGGAGGAAGUUCUGGACUGAAGAGCUACUGCACAUUCCUUUCCUCUCCUGCUUCAUUUGCAUGUCUUCGACCCAACUGGCUGGCAAGAUUUUACAUAAGAGAAUUAAUUUAAUUUAUGUUCCAGAAUAUGACUUUGAUUUUAUCAUUAUAAACAAUUGAAAUGUACUAUGCCACAAAAGAGAUCAUAUUCAGUUAAUCUAUCCAUAGAAAAAAUAUAUAUAUAUAAAUGUCAGCACAAAAGAAACCAAAAAUAAACAUUAAGAAACAUGUUCUGCGUUCUCUAAUGAACUAGUGUGGCAGAAGAUUUAGGGGUAGAUUUAUUAAAAUGUGAGAUCAGAGCUCACCACAAAAAAAAAAUACAGUUCACCAUUUGAUAAAUACACUUAUAGGAAUGACUAGAAAGGGGAUGAGUUUUUUUGUGGUGAGCUCUGAUGUCACAUUAAGGGGCCUAUCUAUUAUGCUGUGUAAAUGGAGUCUUGUCAAAAAAGGUGAUAAGGGUGAAGACACGCAGAGCUACUACUAGUAGCAGCUACUUGUCACAUCUAUAAAAUAGACAAUAGUGAUUAUUGGCUUAGCUAAGACACUACAUGUGUUUUAGCAGAAGCAAGUCUAUUGUCUAUGGCAGGAUAAUUUUGUGGCUUUUUGUAGCUGCUACUAGUGGCCCCGUGUGUUUUCACCCUAAACGUUGUGUAAAAUAAACAGCAAAUUCCUCAACGUUUGUGCGCCUUCCAAAUUCCACAUUUGGCGGCAUUAGAAAAGUAGAAUGCAUGAUAAGUGCACCUUUUUCCUUUUGAUGUGUGGUGAAUUUGAAUGUUGUUUCUUUGCUGUAUUUUUACACAACAGUAAAUAUUCCCCGUAGUGUCAGUCAAUCGUUCAAGUGUCCAUUGCUAAUUGAUGUGAAAGGGAUAUGCUCUUAGUCAGAGAGGAUCUGGAUAAUUGGCUAUAUAUAUUUUUUAUUGUCCUUUUAUUUGAUAAGGCUGAGAACUCUGCUCCCUGAAUAUCGCAUAAUCAUCUUUUAACUUAGGUAGGGAGUCAUCAGUUACCAGAGAGAGAGUCUGAUAGUAGUAAAGCAAGCAAGUCUUUAUAAAGUUCAAGAAUGCCAUUGAAACAUACAUUUUAUCUUCUGGACCUGUUUUCCCAAUACUUAGCUUUUCUUGCUAAAGUUUAAACUUUUUUUCCUAGAUACAACAAUUUAUUUUUUGUGGAGGAAGAGUUCUCUUCUAUGAAAGGAAUGCUAUCUUCCAUCUCUAAAACAGUCAUUUUGGAGUACACAAGCCUGGCCAACAAAAGUUUUGGAAGGUCGAAGAGGCUAGAACAUUACCGGGUGGAUGGAGCCAGGGCAUACCUAAUAAUGCACAGCUAAGACUUCAUGACAGAACAGUUAGAUGAAUACAGGACUUUUUUCUAUUCUCUUUUCUAAUCACAUGGGCAACAAUGCAUAUGGUGGUGAUUGGUCUCUUCUCUAAAUUCACAUGACUCCAUCUGGUGCACGUGAUAGGGAGGCCCUGGAAUUAUGUGGCUAAAGCCUAACUCUCAAGCCCUUGUCUGGAAAGGAAAUUGCAUUUUGAUUCUCAGAACCCUGACAUGUGUUGCACCUUAAAGGAAAAAGAGUUGGAGGGCCACAAUCUAUCUCAUUAAUCUGAGAGUGGCAGAACAUUGUAGAAUCGGAAGACUUCUGUAAGUUGUGCUUCGCCAGUCAGAAGUGGUGCACAGAUGACCAGGUAACAGUGUGCACAGCCACAGAGACUCCUGUGUGUUCAGUUCAGAGACCUCUCUGUCAUUCUCUCCCACUUGUUUCCAACUGAGUUUAAAAAUGUAAUCAGAAUGCAUGAAGACUGGACAGAGCUGCCACACAGAAUGUAUGUACCUUACUUUUUUUUUUUUACAAAAGAACAUUAGCCCACUUCAGUUCCCUUGUAAUGUGUUCAGUUAUCUGCAUCUACUUUUACUGUAAGGUCAUUUUCCAACAGUAACUAAACUUUAGUUCUAGUAUAUGAACUAGUUCUUGUCCUGCAAUGCACAAUGUAUAGGGAAACCUCUGGAAAUCUGUUAUUUGCACAUUCUGAAUCUACUUGCAUUUAAUUGGGAGCACAACAUAUAUUCCAGCUCAUAGUACAGGAACAUUCUGACAUUUAUAACUCA